AUUGAACGCUGGCGGCAGGCCUAACACAUGCAAGUCGAACGAGUGGCGGACGGGUGAGUAAUGUAUGGGGAUCUGCCUGAUAGAGGGGGAUCACUACUGGUAACGGUGGCUAAUACCGCAUACUAUCGGAUGAACCCAUAUGGGAUUAGCUAGUAGGUGGGGUAAAGGCUCACCUAGUCGACGAUCUCUAGCUGGUCUGAGAGGAUGAACAGCCACACUGGAACUGAGACACGGCCCAGACUCCGACGGGAGGCAGCAGUGGGGAAUAUUGCACAAUGGGCGAAAGCCUGAUGCAGCCAUGCCGCGUGUAUGAAGAAGGCCUUAGGGUUGUAAAGUACUUUAAGCGGGGAGGCGUUACCCGCAGAAGAAGCACCGGCUAACUCCGUGCCAGCAGCCGCGGUAAUUC
rnacentral:rRNA from 1 species